rnacentral:rRNA from 1 species
GCUUGCUUUCUUUGCUGGCGACCGGCGCACGGGUGAGUAACACGUAUCCAACCUACCCUUUACUCGGGGAUAGCCUUUCGAAAGAAAGAUUAAUACCCGAUAGCAUAAUGAUUCCGCAUGGUUUCAUUAUUAAAGGAUUCCGGUAAAGGAUGGGGAUGCGUUCCAUUAGGUUGUUGGCGGGGUAACGGCCCACCAAGCCUUCGAUGGAUAGGGGUUCUGAGAGGAAGGUCCCCCACAUUGGAACUGAGACACGGUCCAAACUCCUACGGGAGGCAGCCAUG